AGAAGGCGGGUCACUCGUGGGUGGCACAGUUGUUUGUGAAGGGUUAUUAGUAUUGUAGUAUCUCUUGUUGCUGCACAUCUGCAGCUUUAUUUUGAGUUCCUGAUCUAUAGAAGAUUGUGUAAUUUAUGUCUGAGAGGUCCAGCGCCAGCGUAUAUGUUUGUCAUUUUUGAUUUUUGAUGACCCUUGAUUAUUGAAGAUCAUUGCCACCGAGCGUUGAUCGGUGACGGUGUUGUAGUAUGGGGAAACAUCUAUUAGGUGGCGCUGUUUGCGGCAACAUUCUACGAUUGCGUAGGCUUCUCUCUCGACGAUGGAUUGGUGUUUUUCUGUUUUUGAAAGGGACCUUGAAAAGAAGGCCACUGGCCAUCCUUGUUGUGAUAGCGUCCCUCCCAAGGGUAGGUCAGAAGCAUCUCUUUCAAUGUACUCCAGCAUCGGGUGGAUGCCGGAUUGCUGUCGAACUGCAGCUGGACACACAAUAUCCUUGUGUUCCGAGCAGGUACAGGGGAAGCAACUCAAAAUAUAAUCCUUUCAUUUUCCACAUCGAAAGCAGGUAAAUUCAAUAUCACUGUUGUAAGUUAGGAUUAAAAAACACGUGAUUUAUCUUGUAUCAUAAUUAAGACUAAAAACGCUUUUAAAUUUUGCCAGUUCAGUAUAAUGUAUGGGAAAUUUUAAGUCUUUCUCUGUUCAGCAAUUAAUUGCGAAUCCUAUGAUUCAGUGCAUUUUCAAAACUUGGAUCGAAACCGACACGAUGGAAAAAGUUGUUAAAAUCCUUUUUUCAAGCAUCAAUAAACAUUAUGGUGUUUACAUUUAAAGCUAAUAUUUAAGUGGUGUAGCCAAAAACAAAUAGAAAAUAAACUUACCACAGCUCAAAAUGUAUUUCAAAAUUCUCAAUGAAACCCUACAGAAAUGGAUAUCAUUAGGAGAGCUACAGGUAGCCUGUCUACAAAUUUCAGACAGUUCUUUAAUAAUUAGUGAAUCCCUUUUAGAUGUUCGUUUGGUUAAUGUUGACAUUAUUACUCGGAAACAAAAGCGAAAAAAUAAAAAAAAAAGAAAGAAAAUAGUGCAACUGGUGUAAAAAAAAAAAA